GGGGGGAGCAAGCGUUGUUCGGAUUUACUGGGCGUAAAGCGUAUGUAGGCGGCUUUGUAAGUCAGGUGUGAAAUCCCAGAGCUUAACUUUGGAACUGCAUUUGAGACUGCAAGGCUUGAGUAUCGGAGAGGUUGACAGAAUUCCUAGUGUAGAGGUGAAAUUCGCAGAUAUUAGGAGGAAUACCGAUGGCGCAAGCAGUCAACUGGACGAUUACUGACGCUGAGAUACGAAAGCGUGGGGAGCAAACAGGAUUAGAUACCCUGGUAGUCCACGCCAUAAACGAUGUGUGCUAGCUGUUGGGGCUCUUAGAGCUUCGAUGGCGCAGCUAACGCCUUAAGCACACCGCCUGGGGAGUACGGUCGCAAGAUUA
rnacentral:rRNA from 1 species